rnacentral:rRNA from 1 species
UAGCCCGAGUUGAGAGACUGAUCGGCCACAUUGGGACUGAGACACGGCCCAAACUCCUACGGGAGGCAGCAGUAGGGAAUUUUCCACAAUGGACGCAAGUCUGAUGGAGCAACGCCGCGUGAGUGAAGAAGGUUUUCGGAUCGUAAAGCUCUGUUGUUGGUGAAGAAGGAUAGAGGUAGUAACUGGCCUUUAUUUGACGGUAAUCAACCAGAAAGUCACGGGCUAACUACGUGCCAGCAGCCGCGGUAAAU